rnacentral:rRNA from 1 species
UACGGGGGGAGCAAGCGUUGUUCGGAUUUACUGGGCGUAAAGGGCGCGUAGGCGGCCACCGCAAGUCGGUUGUGAAAUCUCUGGGCUUAACCCAGAAAGGUCAACCGAUACUGCGGGGCUAGAGUGCAGAAGGGGCAACUGGAAUUCUCGGUGUAGCGGUGAAAUGCGUAGAUAUUGGGAAGAACACCUGAGGCGAAGGCGGGUUGCUGGGCUGACACUGACGCUGAGGCGCGAAAGCCAGGGGAGCGAACGGG